rnacentral:rRNA from 1 species
GACAGAGGAUGCAAGCGUUAUCCGGAAUGAUUGGGCGUAAAGCGUCCGCAGGUGGCAGUUCAAGUCUGCUGUCAAAGACCGGGGCUUAACUUCGGAAAGGCAGUGGAAACUGAACAGCUAGAGUAUGGUAGGGGCAGAGGGAAUUCCUGGUGUAGCGGUGAAAUGCGCAGAUAUCAGGAAGAACACCCGUGGCGAAGGCGGUUCUCUGGGACGGUACUGACGCUGAGACGCGAAAGCGUGGGGAGCGAACAGG